ACGAAGGGGGCUAGCGUUGCUCGGAAUCACUGGGCGUAAAGGGCGCGUAGCGGCCAUUCAAGUCGGGGGUGAAAGCCUGUGGCUCAACCACAGAAUUGCCUUCGAUACUGUUUGGCUUGAGUAUGGUAGAGGUCGGUGGAACUGCGAGUGUAGAGGUGAAAUUCGUAGAUAUUCGCAAGAACACCAGUGGCGAAGGCGGCCGACUGGACCAUUACUGACGCUGAGGCGCGAAAGCGUGGGGAGCAAACAGGAUUAGAUACCCUGGUAGUCAAGGGCGAAUUCGC
rnacentral:rRNA from 1 species